rnacentral:rRNA from 1 species
GAUGAACGCUGGCGGCGUGCCUAAUACAUGCAAGUCGAGCGAACAGAUGAGGAGCUUGCUCCUCUGACGUUAGCGGCGGACGGGUGAGUCACACGUGGAUAACCUACCUAUAAGACUGGGAUAACUUCGGGAAACCGGAGCUAAUACCGGAUAAUAUAUUGAACCGCAUGGUUCAAUAGUGAAAGACGGUUUUGCUGUCACUUAUAGAUGGAUCCGCGCCGCAUUAGCUAGUUGGUAAGGUAACGGCUUACCAAGGCAACGAUGCGUAGCCGACCUGAGAGAGUGAUCGGCCACACUGGAACUGAGACACGGUCCAGACUCCUACGGGAGGCAGCAGUAGGGAAUCUUCCGCAAUGGGCGAAAGCCUGACGGAGCAACGCCGCGUGAGUGAUGAAGGUCUUCGGAUCGUAAAACUCUGUUAUUAGGGAAGAACAAAUGUGUAAGUAACUAUGCACGUCUUGACGGUACCUAAUCAGAAAGCCACGGCUAACUACGUG